UGUGAAUGAUUUCACGUUGUCCAGCGAUUCCAAGAACUAUUUGCGCAAACGAAGUAUAAAGAAGCUGCUGAACUUGCUGCUGAGUCUCCACAAGGAAUUCUUCGUACUCCUGAUACAACUGCCAAAUUUCAGAGUGUUCCUGUACAAACUGGGCAAAUACCACCCCUUUUGCAGUAUUUUGGUACUCUCUUGACCAGAGGAAAGCUUAAUGCUUUCGAGUCAUUGGAGCUAUCAUGUCUCGUUGUGAACCAGAACAAGAAGAAUUUUUUGGAAAAUUGGCUAGCAGAAGACAAAUUAGAAUGCAGUGAGGAGCUAGGAGAUCUUGUGAAGACCGUGGACAACGACCUUGCAUUGAAAAUCUAUAUCAAAGUCAAAGCAACUCCAAAAGUUGUUGCAACUUUUGCUGAGCGAAGAGAGUUUAAUAAAAUUCUAAUUUACUCAAAGGAGCUUGUAUCAAGAGAGUGAUUAGCAAUUUAUGCAUCACUUGUAAUAUAUAUCUCACAAGCUGAGAUUUCUGAUGACACCUUAUUUAUGAUUUUCCCCUUUUCCUCUUCAGCACCUCAAACCCUUAUUUUUGGAAGUGUUGGUGCAUGCGUCCAUGGUCACUUAAUUUUGUUUAUUUUGUAGAUGUGACAAGCAAAAUAGAAAAGGAUACUUAAUUUUGAAGGCUUUGUGUUGGGCAGCUGUAGAAUAUUUUGUGCUGAAAGUAUUAACUUUUCAAUAUGUUGAAUAUUUAAGACUACUUGAAUACUUAAAGAACAUUUUGUUGUUGAUGACAGUGUUGAAUGUUUUAAACUAAUUUGUGGAUUGUUAAUACAAUGUUGAAUGUUUUUACUUUUUGUUA